GAAGAAUCACUUCAGUUCAUUCAAACUGUGCUGUGAAACAAACCAUGAUCUCUUCAUCUUUAGUGCUGCUUCUGGCAGUGAUAUCCUGUAUUGAUUCAUAUGAACUCACUCAGCCUGAGUCUCUAACUGUUCGUCCUGAUGCCACUCUCACCAUCAACUGUAAAGUCUCAUAUUCAGUUACAAGCUAUACUACAGCCUGGAUUCGUCAGCCUGCAGGAAAAGCUCUGGAGUGGAUUGGAUUGAUUGACUCUGCUGGAAACUUAGCCUACAAGGAUUCCCUGAGAAACAAGUUCAGUAUCACCAGAGACACUUCUAGUAACACAAUAACACUGCAAGGAAAGAAUAUGCGAGCUGAAGACACAGCUGUGUAUUAUUGUGCCAGAGCAUCACAAUGCCUGAUGGCAACAGCUUCCCUGUACAAAAACAUCAUCUUUGGCCUAUCAGUCAUGAUUGCACCUUGUGACCCUCCCAAUGCAAAUCAAAUCAACCCUGAAAGUGUUACAUGUGGAUGGGACAUGUUAAUAGUGACAGCAGUGGCAAUGACUUACUCUGAAUCCUUCAAAGGUCGAACUGAAAUCACCAGAGAUAAUUCAAAGAGUAUGGUGUAUCUGAAACUAUCAGGCCUGACAGCAGAAGACUCAGCCGUGUAUUACUGUGCAAGAGACUCACAGUGA